UAAGGAAUGUAUGUAUAGCUAACCAUG
rnacentral:piRNA from 1 species